GUUCUCCUUCAGUAGCACCUAUGUUAAGGUUGGAACAAUCAAGAGAAUAUUACCAGUGACCCCUGGAAAUGGAUGACAUACAAAUCUAUGAAGCAUUGCACACAUUU